rnacentral:rRNA from 1 species
GACGAACGCUGGCGGCGUGCUUAACACAUGCAAGUCGAACGGAAAGGCCCCUUUGGUGGUACUUGAGUGGCGAACGGGUGAGUAACACGGGAGUAACCUGCCCUUGACUUCGGGUUAACUUCAGGCAACUGGGGCUAAUACCGGAUAGGAAUCCUUGCCGCAUGGUGGGGGUUGGUAAGCUUCGGGGGUUUUGGGUGGACUCGCGGCUGAUCUGCUUGUUGGUGGGGUAGUGGCUUACCAAGGCUUUGAUGGGUAGCCGGCCAGAGAGGGCGACCGGCCACAUUGGGACUGCGAUACGGCCCAGACUCCUACGCGAGGCAGCUGUGGGGAGUAUUGCGCAAUGGGCGGAGACCUGAUGCAGCAACGCCGCGUGCGGGAUGACCGCCUUCGUGUUGGAAACCGCGUUCAGCAGGGGCAAAGCUUGUGGUGACGGUACCUGCAGAAGAAGCACCGGCUAACUACGUG